GUCUGUCGCGUCGGCUGUGAAAACCCGAGGCUCAACCUCGGGCCUGCAGUCGAUACGGGCAAACUAGAGUACUGCAGGGGAGACUGGAAUUCCUGGUGUAGCGGUGAAAUGCGCAGAUAUCAGGAGGAACACCGGUGGCGAAGGCGGGUCUCUGGGCAGUAACUGACGCUGAGGAGCGAAAGCGUGGGGAGCGAACAGGAUUAGAUACCCUGGUAGUCCACGCCGUAAACGUUGGGCGCUAGAUGUGGGGCUCAUUCCACGAGUUCCGUGUCGCAGCUAGCGCAUUAAGCGCCCCGCCUGGGGAGUACGGCCGCAGGGCUAAAACUCAAAGGAAUUGACGGGGGCCCGCACAAGCGGCGGAGCAUGUUGCUUAAUUCGAUGCAACGCGAAGAACCUUACCUAGGCUUGACAUGCACGGAAAUCUCCCAGAGAUGGGAGGUCCUUUAAAGGGUCGUGCACAGGUGGUGCAUGAUUGUCGUCAGCUCGUGUCGUGAGAUGUUGGGUUAAGUCCCGCAACGAGCGCAACCCUCGUUCUAUGUUGCCAGCACGUCAUGGUGGGGACUCAUAGGAGACUGCCGGGGUCAACUCGGAGGAAGGUGGGGAUGACGUCAAAUCAUCAUGCCCCUUAUGUCUAGGGCUGCAAACAUGCUACAAUGGCCGGUACAAAGGGCUGCGAUACCGCGAGGUGGAGCGAAUCCCAAAAAGCCGGUCUCAGUUCGGAUUGGGGUCUGCAACUCGACCCCAUGAAGUUGGAGUCGCUAGUA
rnacentral:rRNA from 1 species